UGGAGGCAGCAGUGGGGAAUUUUGGACAAUGGGCGCAAGCCUGAUCCAGCAAUGCCGCGUGCAGGAAGAAGGCCUUCGGGUUGUAAACUGCUUUUGUACGGAACGAAACGGUCUGGGUUAAUACCCUGGGCUAAUGACGGUACCGUAAGAAUAAGCACCGGCUAACUACGUGCCAGCAGCCGCGGUAAUACGUAGGGUGCAAGCGUUAAUCGGAAUUACUGGGCGUAAAGCGUGCGCAGGCGGUUUUGUAAGACAGUCGUGAAAUCCCCGGGCUCAACCUGGGAAUGGCGAUUGUGACUGCAAAGCUGGAGUGCGGCAGAGGGGGAUGGAAUUCCGCGUGUAGCAGUGAAAUGCGUAGAUAUGCGGAGGAACACCGAUGGCGAAGGCAAUCCCCUGGGCCUGCACUGACGCUCAUGCACGAAAGCGUGGGGAGCAAACAGGAUUAGAUACCCCGGUAGC
rnacentral:rRNA from 1 species